rnacentral:piRNA from 1 species
CACUGGGGGCCUACCUGUUU